GGAUGGGCUGAGGUGCGGGGGAGCAGUAGGCCUGGAGGACUCCCUGAAGAGGUGGCCUGGGGAUUCCUGGCAGAGGGAACGGCCUGUGCAAAGGCCUGGAGACACGCGACUGAGGCGCGCCUAACAAUGGCUACCAUGGAUUCACGGGCAGGCGCCUGUACACUCAAUCCUCACGGCAGCUCCAGGACACUGGAGUCAGUGCUCCUGUCUCACAGGAAAGGAAACGUUGGCUCAGAAAGAUAAGGAAACCGAAGCACAGAGAGGCAGGUCAUCUGGCUGAGGUCACACAGCCACGCGGCGAGAGAGCAGUGAAGCCGGAGUUCCAGCAAGCUCCACCUGGCGAGAAUUCAAGCCCUGCCAUGGGCCACCUCUCUGGAGGAAGAGAAAGCCAGCUUCAGACUCUGCCUCUCUCAAUCCUUAUACAAGGCCAGAGAGCGCUUGAGGCUUCCAGGCACUCCUAUGCUUACACACCUUCCAUGGCUCCCAGCUGCCCUCCAGAUAAAGAACAAACUCCUCAGUGUGGCCCUUGAGGUCCUGUGAUCUGGCCUCUGUCCACCACCAGGGCCCCCCUCCUGCCAGAUCUCUGAGCCUCGGCCACGCUGACCUGCUUCUCUCAGGGCCUCAACAGGGCCGAUCUCCAUCCCUGCUGUUCCCUUGGUCCAGCAUGCUGUUCCCCUCUAGUUGCUUCUCCUUACCCUGGGGGCCUCCACUCAAAUGCCACCUCCUCCACUGGCCGGACGCUGCCAUUAACCUGCUCGAGUGCUCUCCCUGCAAAACUCAGCACAGGCCGGGCACAGUGGCUCAUGCCUGUAAUCCCAGCACUUUGGGAGGCCAAGGUAGGACGACUGUUCGAGCCCAGGAGUUCAAAACCAGCCUGGGCAACAAAGUGAGAUCCUGUCUCUAUUUUUUAAAAAAUUAGCCGGGCGUAGUGGAGCACACCUGUAGUCCCAGCUACUCGGGAGCUUAAGGCGAGGGGGUAGCUUGAGCCCAGGAGUUCGAGGCUGCAGUGAGCUGUGAUCACACCACUGCACUCCCGCCUGGGUAACAGAGCAAGACCCUGUCUCAAAAAAAAAAAAAAAAAAAAGACCCAUAGCACAAUUGUAAUCAUGUGGGUCAUUGUGGGGUGGUGAGUCACAGCUGGUGAGUGGCAGAAUCAAGACCAGGUCCAGGUGGUACAGCCACAGAGCUGGUGCCCCCAAGUACUCGGCUGCUCACAUGGGCCCCAAGAGACCUCCUCACUGGCAAGAGGAAGAAGCCACCUCCUCUCGGAGGAAUGAGCAGAGCUAGAGUACAGUGGCACAAUCACUGCUCACUGCAGUCUCGAACUCCCCGGCUCAAGCAAUCCUCCCACCUCAGCCUCCUGAGUAGCUGGGACUACAGUCGUGUGCCACCACACCUAGCUAAUUUUUUCUAUUUCUUGUAGAGGUGGAGUCUUCCUAUAUAGCUUAGGCUGGUCUCAAACUCCUGGACUUAAGCAAUCCUCCUGCCUCAGCCUUCCAAAGUGCUGGGAUUACAGACAUGAACCACCGUCCCCUGUAACCACUGUUUAAGAAAGUAAAAAGAUGCAGAAGAAGUUAAUCUAAUAUUUUGUUUAACCCACUAUACUCCAAAUAUCAUUCCUACAUGUAAUCAAGAUAAAAAAAUUAUUAAUGGCUGGGUGCCAUGGCUCACGCCUGUAAUCCCAGCAUUUUGAGAGGCCGAGGCAGGCAGAUCACCUAGGGUCAGGAGUUCAAGACCAGCCUGACCAACGUGGUGAAACCCUGUCUCUACUAAAAAUACAAAAAUUAGCCAGGCUUGGUGGCGUGUGCCUGUAGUCCCAGCUACUCAAAAGGCUGAGACAGGAGAAUUGAUUGAUCUUAGGAGGCAGAGUCUACAGUGAG
rnacentral:lncRNA from 1 species